ACUCUAGUGGUGUAGUGGUAGCACACGCGCCUCUUAUGGGUAGCAUGCGGGUUCAACUUCCGCCUGGGGUC